CAGAGAGAGCUUUUGUGAGCCUGUGUUCCUACAGUGUUCCUGUUUAUGCACCCGUGUCCAUCUUUGUACACCCAGGCUCAUAAUUAAUGCGGUCUUCUCUACAUCGACUUUAAGGGCUUUUUCAGUGGAAGAGUGACCGUGUUGAAAAGGCUGUGCUGGACUCAUGAGGAUCAGGGUCCAACUCAUCAAAAGUCCACUCCUCAUCACAUCCAGAUCCUCAUCACCCUCUUCAUCUCAUCACCACAAGCACCAGC